UCCUAGCCUUUUAAUUGGAGGCCUGCAUGAAUGGCUUGACGAGCGCUCUGCUGUCUCUCUUCCCAUGAACUUUUAAAUUAACUUUCGCGUGCAAAGGCGCGAAUGGCUGAGUUAGACGAAAAGACCCUAUGCAUCUUUACUGAGAGAGAAGAAAGUUCUUUAGCUUGGUUUAGCUGGGGCAGCUGAGGAAAAGGCAAAAUUUCCUUAAUAUAAAUCAUACUGGUGGGUUUAGAUCCAGGCUCUUUAGCGGGCUUGACAAGUAGAAAAGUUACGCUAGGGAUAACAGCGUUAUCCUUCUGUGGAGGUCUUAUCUGCAGGAGGGAUUGCGACCUCGAUGUUGAAUUAGGGAUAUACCAGAAAGGCGCAGAAGCUUUUAUUGUGGGU
rnacentral:rRNA from 1 species